UCGCUCGGAGCCUGCCCGGGGAGCGCGCGGGGGGGGCUCCGCGGGCUGUGCCCUGCCGGGCGGCGCUGCCGGCGGGUCGGUGCGCGGUGCUCCCGGGCGCGUCCCGUCUCCUUCAGCAGCUGGCGGUGUCCUCCAGGAGAGCGCUGCUGGUCACAGCGCCGGUAGCGGACCGCAGUCCCCUGCCCCGUGCCUCCGCUAACUGUGUGUCCCGUCCGGGUGGCGAGGGGGUUUCUGUAUCGAAGCGUUUGUGCUGUGUGAAGGUGGUGGGCUCCCCAUCUGCCUUUGCCCCUCUGAGUUUGGACCACACCAGAACUUUGCUUUAUCCUUUUCCUGCCAUCCAUGGGUACCAAAAAUGUUUUCAUGGCCUUACAUGUGCUAACAAUUUAUAGACUGUAAAUUUGCUUUUGGCUUUUUAAAUAGCUAAAACAUUCUGUGACGUUUGGAUGGAUCUCAUCGUCCUCCCUCCCCAGAUUCUUUUCAUGGGAGGGAGAGAAAAAGAGAAAGUUUUCUUCUGUUGCUGUUGAGGGCCACUUCUCAUUUUUCAUGCUCCCUUCUAGGAGGUUAGGAGGUCCCAGUUCAACUUUGUUACUUGCGUAGAUGAAACACAUCAUUCUUAAACGAGCAAGAGGCUGAUGUUUUUUUGGGUUUUUUUUUUUGGAGUUGGACCAAAAUCUGUUUGGUUUUGUGUAUGUGUUUUGGAAUAUAUUUUGGAUUUUUUGUUGCUUUUUGCAAGCUCCAGUAAGAAUUCCAGACUGUUUCACUUUAACAAGUGGAUUUUAUAAACACAGAGGCAGACAUCAUAUCAUCCCGAACCCAGAGACAGGCCUUGGGAAUUCCUGGGCUGCCUGUUUGCUAGUGUCACUAUCCUAUGAUUAAUGAGAGAUGGGUUUUGCAUGGAUGGCAGGCUGGUUGGUACAAGCUUGGAGGUAGUUUUCAGAUACACCUGUGGGUUUCCAGGGCUUUAGCCAAAGGCUAUACUGGCCUCUGGCCUGGAGUUGAAUCACCUUCUUGCAUGUACUCUCCAACAUACUUGGUCAUCCCUUCUGCCUGAGGACCAAGAACUCCAGCUUCAGAGCCCUCACAGCCCAGUGUCCAGUCCUGUUUCAUGAUCUGCUGUUUUCUGUUUGGAGCCUUUAUUGUAGGAAAAGCCGCACAUGAAGAAAAGAAGAAAGAAAGUAAGUGGAAAACAAACCAGAGUGACGUCCAUUAAAUUCUUCUGGGGAAAUGCUGGCCUGCCUUCUUCAAGUAUUCGGACCUGCUGCAGAAUAUGCAAGGCAGGUUCUCUGGUCAGCAGUAAUUCUGGGGUCUGGUUCUGCUCUCCCUCAAGAGCUGUCAGUCUUCAGGCAGCUUGUUGCUUUGUGCUCCUUCCACACAGGAGCAGACAAACUCAUGAAUGAAACAUUACUGAUACUGAAGAGAACUCCUGGCAUCUACCUCAGCAGAAGAAACUGACUUAUCAUUCAUUGAAGACAUCCGUACUUAUACAGGGAAUGCAUGCUCACAUGACGGUGCCAAGCCAAGGCUGCCAUUGGAGGAGAGGGACAGAAACGGGAGAGGAAAAGGGGGUGGAGGAGAGGAGAAGGAUGAGAAGGAAAAGAGGAAGAGGUGAGGGAGAUGUUCCCCUGCUACAUACAGAUGCUGCACUGCCUGCCAAAACAGCCCAGCCUGUGGGUUGCCCUGAGAGUGCCUGCUUAGCCACCCGUGGAGGAACUGCCACCUGACCUCCUCCAGCUGGGCUCCGUUUUGACCCUAAACCUAAAAAAAUUUUGCAGUCUGAAAAUACUGAAAUGGUUUGUUCUUUUUUUUGGUUGUUGUUCUUUUUUUUUUUUUAAUUAUUGUUAUUAUAGAUAUGAUAUUACUAAAAAUAGACCUGCAUGUGCAAGUUUGAAAUGUUUCAUUUCAAACACAAGUACAACAUAAAUGCAGUUGGAGUGGAACUUGUCUUGCAUCAAGAAAUCAAAGCAGGCAUGAAGGAAGAGAGCACGUUGUGCUGAACAGUGUAUGACUGUUCCAUGGGGCAAGAUGGAUUGACCAUAUGUUGGUAUCCACGACUUUAUGCAAAUUCUGUGUCUGUGAAAGUUACCUAAUUAAGUUGAGUUCCUGAAACAUCUCAAAUGGGGAUUUGCACAACUUGUCUUUGAACUGAUGCUCACUGCUGCUACCGGCACGUGUCCAGGAGCCGCUUGGCUGCACGUGUGUCUGAGCCACCCAAGGCAGCUGCGGUGCAGCAGGAGCUGGAGGGGGCACAGCACCAACAAGCCACCAGUUCCUGGUGUCUGUGUUUGCUGUGGAGACACCUGAGGAAGGUUUUUUCUCAGAAGAACCGUGCCUUACAGGGUGUGCAGGAGGGUCUGUCUCCACGUCAGCUGUCAGCCAAACAGAUGAGUAACAAACCUCCAAAAUCAGAGUUUUUCAGCUCAAGAGUAGUAGAAGAAGGUGAAACUGGCACUGCUCAGCUAAGUGUGGAUCUCUCUGUGUAAAUCAACCCUGAUGGCUGAGAAAUUGAAGUUGGUAGAUGUAGCUAAGCCUU